ACAAUAAUAGAGAUUGAAGGAAGAGAUUCUUGCAAAGAAAAACCUAAAUAUCAACAAGAAAAAAAAUGAUCCAAAAAAUUAUUAAAAACAAACCAUAUUUCUGAAUUGUCAGUCUCUCUUUACCAGAGAAGGUCAUCUACACUACCAUCAUCAGGAGGAGAAAGAAGAGGAGAAGUAGCUACCCCAAGAUUCCUCGUGCCUCCCUUCCUUGAUGGUGUGUAAAAAACACCCUGCCAUCCUGAUUGGUCCUCCACGGGUUUAGUCAACGCACUAAUACUGUUUUGUUUUCCAUCCAUUAUUUGUACUGUUAUAACCUCUUUGGUCUAGCUCUAAUUGACUGACAACUCGUAAAGGCGAUUAAUGAGAGGCAAUAUAUAUUGGUGUCCUUCUCCGCUGGCUCUUCAAAGGUCACAGACUUCCUCGACUGUUGACGACAGGGGGCGGGCGGGUGGUGCUAACCAUGGUCCAAGGCGCCAAGGGACAAAGGGGCCGAAAGCACUAGACAAAGGGGAUAAGGUGGUUCUCAUUUUCCAGUCCCCCCACCCCCCACCCCCCACAGAAGAAAGAAAGAGCUAUGUGCCCUCUUAUUUCUUCCAUGAUCGAUCCUUCACUGAACUUUUCCAUGUUCAUUUCAUUUCACAUUUGAUUUUAUGGGGCUGUAUAUUGUAAACCACCUCAUCAAAUGAGACUUUGGAGUCCUCUCUGUGGGUCAGUUUUCUUUUUGUAUCUCACCACUUUGAGAUUUCGGGGCUAAUUCAUUCAAUCGGAAAGUGGAAAAACAGUCAACUUAUAUCAUGGUUGAUA